rnacentral:rRNA from 1 species
AUUCACUUAGGUAGCUGGAACGUAGGGUCUCUGACAGGGAAGCUUCGGGAGAUAGUUGAUGCAGCGGUGAGGAGAGGUGUUCAUAUCCUUUGCGUCCAAGAAACCAAAUGGAGAGGACAGAAGGCGAAGGAGGUGGAGGAUACCGGCUUCAAGCUCUGGUACACGGGGACUGCUGCAAACAGAAAUGGCGUAGGCAUCUUGAUCAACAAGAGCCUCAAGUAUGGAGUGGUAGAUGUCAGACGUGGGGACCGGAUUAUCCUGGUCAAGUUGGUAGUUGAGGACUUGGUUCUCAAUGUUAUCAACGCGUAUGCCCCGCAAGUAGGCCACAAUGAGAACACCAAGAGGGAGUUCUGGGAAGGCUUGGAAGACAUGGUUAGGAGUGUACCGAUUGGUGAGAAGCUCUUCAUAGGAGGAGACCUCAAUGGCCACGUGGGUACAUCUAACACAGGUUUUGAAGGGACGCAUGGGGGCUUUGGCUAUGGCAUCAGGAAUCAAGAAGGAGAAGAUGUCUUAAGCUUUGCUCUAGCCUACAACAUGAUUGUAGCUAACACCCUCUUUAGAAAGAGAGAAUCACAUCUGGUGACUUUUAGUAGUGGCCAACACUUUAGCCAGAUUGAUUUCAUCCUCUCGAGAAGAGAAGAUAGGCGUGCGUGCCUAGACUGU